UACGGGGGGGGCAAGCGUUGUUCGGAAUUACUGGGCGUAAAGGGCUCGUAGGCGGCCAACUAAGUCGGAUGUGAAAUCCCUAGGCUUAACCUAGGAACUGCAUCCGAUACUGGAUGGCUUGAAUCCGGGAGAGGGAUGCGGAAUUCCAGGUGUAGCGGUGAAAUGCGUAGAUAUCGGGAGGAACACCAGUGGCGAAGGCGGUUCUCUGGGCCUUACCUGACGCUGAGGAGCGAAAGCGUGGGGAGCGAACAGG
rnacentral:rRNA from 1 species